rnacentral:rRNA from 1 species
AUAGCUUUGGUCCUGGGCUUACCGUUAUUUUUUAUCAAGAUUAUACAUGCAAGCCUCAACAAAUCCAGUGAAAAUGCCCAAAACCCCUUAAAAGAUUAAAUGGAGCAUGCAUCAGGCACUAUAGCAAGCCCAUAACGCCUUACCUCGCCACACCCCCACGGGCUACCAGCAGUAAUAAACAUUGGGCUAUAAGUGAAAACUUGACCCAACUAUGAUAACUUAGGGCUGGUCAAUUUCGUGCCAGCCACCGCGGUUAAACGAAAGGCCCUGAAUAACGGCAAAACGGCGUAAAAUGUGACUAGAUAUGCUUAAUUUUAAAAAUAUUAAAAUCUACAACUUAGUAAAAUACUUAAGCUAUAGAGAAAACCAAUACAAAUAUUUUUAACCUUCAACCCUUGACCACACGAAAGCUUAGAAACAAACUAGGAUUAGAUACCCUACUAUGCUAAGCCCUAAACAUUGAUAAGCUAACAUACUAUGCUUUCCGCCAGAGAACUACAAGUGAAAAACUUGAAACUCAAAGGACUUGGCGGUGUCCCAUAUCGG